rnacentral:rRNA from 1 species
AUUGAACGCUGGCGGCAGGCCUAACACAUGCAAGUCGAGCGAGCGGCGGACGGGUGAGUAAUGUCUGGGAAACUGCCUGAUGGAGGGGGAUAACUACUGGAAACGGUAGCUAAUACCGCAUACCAUCAGAUGUGCCCAGAUGGGAUUAGCUAGUGGGUGGGGAAAUGGCUCACCUAGGCGACGAACCCUAGCUGUGCUGAGAGGAUGACCAGCCACACGGGAGCUGAGAAGCGGUCCAGACUCCUAGGGGGGGGAGCAGUGGGAAAUAUUGCACAAGGGGCACAAGCGUGAGGCAGACAUGGCGCGUGUGUGAAGAAGGCCUUGGGUGUGUAAAGCACUUUCAGCGGGGAGAGGUUACCCGCAGAAGAAGCACCGGCAAACACCGGGCAAGCGGCCGCGUAAUAC